UACGAAGGGGGCUAGCGUUGUUCGGAAUUACUGGGCGUAAAGCGCGCGCAGGCGGUCUUCCAAGUCAGUGGUGAAAGCCCGGAGCUCAACUCCGGAACUGCCAUUGAAACUGUUUAGCUUGAGGACGAGAGAGGUGAGUGGAAUUCCCAGUGUAGAGGUGAAAUUCGUAGAUAUUGGGAAGAACACCGGUGGCGAAGGCGGCUCACUGGCUCGUAUCUGACGCUCAGGCGCGAUAGCGUGGGGGAUCAAACAGG
rnacentral:rRNA from 1 species